rnacentral:ribozyme from 1 species
ACCAUCCUGCACCCCCUCCAUGGCCCCCACAAAUCCCGCGACGAUGCACCUAUUCUACCCCGACUGGUCUACAGGAGGCGUGGGAUGUAAGAACGAUGGGCAGGAACGUGCCUACAUGUCGGCGAACCCAAGUUAUUAUCUAAGCUCCACAUUGGAUAGCUGUUGCA